UGUGUGUAGCUGCCAUUAGCAAGAAACCCGUCAGAGACACAGUAAGCCGGUGUGAGUUUAUUCCACUUUACACGGCAUCCUCUUCCGGUUAAGUUUGACGUCAUGCAGCAGGAGGAGCUUUUGCUCCACAAGGUGGCGACAGUGACCCAGG